rnacentral:rRNA from 1 species
GAUGAACGCUGGCGGCGUGCCUAAUACAUGCAAGUCGAGCGAACAGACGAGGAGCUUGCUCCUCUGACGUUAGCGGCGGACGGGUGAGUAACACGUGGAUAACCUACCUAUAAGACUGGGAUAACUUCGGGAAACCGGAGCUAAUACCGGAUAAUAUAUUGAACCGCAUGGUUCAAUAGUGAAAGACGGUUUUGCUGUAACUUAUAGAUGGAUCCGCGCCGCAGUAGCUAGUUGGUAAGGUAACGGCUUACCAAGGCAACGAUGCGUAGCCGACCUGAGAGGGUGAUCGGCCACACUGGAACUGAGACUCGGUCCAGACUCCUACGGGAGGCCGCAGUAGGGACUCUUCCGCAAUGGGCGAAAGCCUGACGGAGCAACGCCGCGUGAGUGAUGAAGGUCUUCGGAUCGUAAAACUCUGUUAUUAGGGAAGAACAAAUGUGUAAGUAACUAUGCACGUCUUGACGGUACCUAAUCAGAAAGCCACGGCUAACUACGUG